rnacentral:rRNA from 1 species
CACAAGCGGUGGAGCAUGUGGUUUAAUUCGAUGCAACGCGAAGAACCUUACCUGGUCUUGACAUAGUAAGAACUUUUCCAGAGAUGGAUUGGUGCCUUUCGGGGAACUUACAUACAGGUGCUGCAUGGCUGUCGUCAGCUCGUGCCGUGAGAUGUUGGGUUAAGUCCCGCAACGAGCGCAACCCUUUUCCUUAUUUGCCAGCGGGUUAAGCCGGGAACUUUAAGGAUACUGCCAGUGACAAACUGGAGGAAGGCGGGGACGACGUCAAGUCAUCAUGGCCCUUACGACCAGGGCUACACACGUGCUACAAUGGUCGGUACAAAGGGUUGCUACCUAGCGAUAGGAUGCUAAUCUCAAAAAGCCGAUCGUAGUCCGGAUUGGAGUCUGCAACUCGACUCCAUGAAGUCGGAAUCGCUAGUAAUCGCGGAUCAGAAUGCCGCGGUGAAUACGUUCCCGGGCCUU